rnacentral:RNase_P_RNA from 4 species
GGAGUCGGCCGGACAGUCGCGUCGCGCGCAAGCGCGUCGAGGAAAGUCCGGGCUCCACAGGGCAGAGUGCCAGGUAACGCCUGGGCGGCGCGAGCCGACGGCCAGUGCAACAGAAAGCAAACCGCCGAUGGCCCGCAAGGGCACAGGCAAGGGUGAAACGGUGCGGUAAGAGCGCACCGCGCGCGGGGCCAACGCCGCGUGGCACGGUAAACCCCACUCGGAGCAAGACCAAAUAGGGGAACGAUAACGCGGCCCGCGUUGUUCCCGGGUAGGUUGCUGGAGCCAGGCGGCGACGCCUGGCCGAGAGGAAUGACUGUCGCGCCGCAAGGCGUACAGAACCCGGCUUACAGGCCGACUCCACCU